rnacentral:rRNA from 1 species
GAUGAACGCUGGCGGCGUGCUUAACACAUGCAAGUCGAACGGAAAGGCUCCUGCUUGCAGGGGUACUCGAGUGGCGAACGGGUGAGUAACACGUGGGUGAUCUGCCCUGCACUUCGGGAUAAGCCUGGGAAACUGGGUCUAAUACCGGAUAGGACGAUGGUUUGGAUGCCAUUGUGGAAAGUUUUUUCGGUGUGGGAUGAGCUCGCGGCCUAUCAGCUUGUUGGUGGGGUAAUGGCCUACCAAGGCGUCGACGGGUAGCCGGCCUGAGAGGGUGUACGGCCACAUUGGGACUGAGAUACGGCCCAGACUCCUACGGGAGGCAGCAGUGGGGAAUAUUGCACAAUGGGCGCAAGCCUGAUGCAGCGACGUCGCGUGGGGGAUGACGGCCUUCGGGUUGUAAACUCCUUUCGCUAGGGACGAAGCGCAAGUGACGGUACCUGGAGAAGAAGCACCGGCUAACUACGUG